rnacentral:rRNA from 1 species
GACGAACGCUGGCGGCGUGCUUAACACAUGCAAGUCGAACGCUGAAGCUCAGCUUGCUUGGUGGAUGCGAGGCGCAAGGGUGUGUGUAACGUGUGUGAAACCUCCCCUUAAUUGGGAUAAAGCUCGGAGAAACGUGCUCAAAUAGGGUAUACAAUGAUUCGCGCCAUGGGGUUGGUGGAAAGGUUUUUUCUGGUGGGGGAUGGGCUCGCGGCCUAUCAGCUUGUUGGUGGGGUGAUGGCUUACCAAGGCUUUGACGGGUAGCUGGCCUGAGAGGGUGACCGGUCACAUUGGGACUGAGCUACGGCCCAGACGCCUACGGGAGGCAGCAGUGGGGAAUAUUGCACAAUGGGCGAAAGCCUGAUGCAGCGACGCCGCGUGAGGGAUGGGGGUCUUCGAGUUGUAAACCUCUGUCGCUCAUGGUCAAGCCGCAGCUGUGGGUUGUGGUGAGGGUAGUGGGUAAAGAAGCGCCGGCUAACUACGUG